UGUGUAGGCGGUUCUUUAAGUUUGGUGUGAAAUCUCCCGGCUUAACCGGGAGGGUGCGCCGAAUACUGAGGGACUAGAGUACGGGAGAGGAAAGUGGAAUUCCUGGUGUAGCGGUGAAAUGCGUAGAUAUCAGGAGGAACACCGGUGGUGUAGACGGCUUUCUGGACCGACACUGACGCUGAAACACGAAAGCGUGGGUAGCAAACAGGAUUAGAUACCCUGGUAGUCCACGCCCUAAACGAUGCAUAUUUGGUGUGGGCAGUUCAUUCUGUCCGUGCCGGAGCUAACGCGUUAAAUAUGCCGCCUGGGGAGUACAGUCGCAAGGCUGAA
rnacentral:rRNA from 1 species